UACGUAGGGUGCAAGCGUUGUCCGGAAUUAUUGGGCGUAAAGAGCUCGUAGGCGGUCUGUUGCGUCGGCUGUGAAAACCCGGGGCUCAACUCCGGGCCUGCAGCCGAUACGGGCAGACUAGAGUUCGGCAGGGGAGACUGGAAUUCCUGGUGUAGCGGUGAAAUGCGCAGAUAUCGGGAGGAACACCAACGGCGAAGGCAGCUUGCUGGGACGGUACUGACGCUGAGAUGCGAAAGCGUGGGGAGCAAACAGG
rnacentral:rRNA from 1 species